GGGGAUUGAACCCAAGGCCUUGUGCAUGUGAGGCAGGCACUCUACCAACUCCCCAGCCCGCAAAGAAGCCUCUUGGUAACUUCAAAUUAGAAUAGACACUUUAUGUACUCUUAAUGACUUCCAAAAACUUCUGAGUGACAUUGAUUGAUUACGUCCCUCUUUAAAGUUAACUACAUCAAAGUUAGUUAGUUCACUAUCCUCAAAGGCGAACCUCUGUCUCCUCAACAACUGACUUCAGAAGCUAAAACUGCACUGACUCAGGAACACUGUUCUUCAAGCAGCCCAGCUUACUAUGGUCAAUCUAAAUAGAUCUAUUCAAGUAGUGACUUUUCCUGCUACUCAUAUCCCUACAGGAAUUCUUAGGCAGGAAACAAAAAUUAUAAAAUGGCUUCACCUGCUACAUUCUCCUAAAUCCUUAAUGCCAUUUUCAUGAUUAGUUGCUCAGUUAAUUUCAAAAACUCAAUGAGUACAGCAACUCUUAGGGCUAGUGCAUUCCCUUAUUGUAGUUCGUUUUACUACUGCACAACAAGGUUGGCUUUGACAAAAUUCUGCAAGUUGACGGAUUACACUUGCUAAUUUUUCUGGCCAAAUUGAUAGCUAUUUACACUUUGAUAAAAUUUCUAUAACAACUUUUGUUUUCCCUAAAAUUGUUUGCACUAAACCAAUUUCUCAGGCUCUAAUGGUUUUUACUGAUGGGUCCAGCUCAGGGAGGCCAGAUUAAAAUUUUUGCCUUACAACCCUUUUCAUCAGAAUCUAUAAAUAUUUACAGUGACAGUCCUUAUGCAGUGGGGGCAACUCAGGUAAUUGAAACAGCCACUAUUGGUCAUAUUAACUCUGAGGUAUUAUUUUAGCUUUUUAAAUCUUUACAAAACUCUAUGCAACAAUGUUAGCUUUUUUUUAUUGGACAUAGUUGAGCUCAUUCAGGUCUCGCAGGACCUUUUGUAGAAGGAAACAAUGUUAUAGAUCAUCUUGUUGCAUCAGUAGAAUGUGUAUCACCUUAUUCCUCUCUCAGGCAUCACAUGCCCUACAUCACCAAAAUGCUUCCAGUUUGCACAAAGAAUUUCACCUCUCUAGGGAGCAGGCUUGGACCACAGCUAAACAAUACCCUCAAUGUAUUAUUCACCCCCCCAGUCUUAUUAACUGGGAUAAAUGCUCGGGGCCUUAAGCCAAAUCACAUUUGACAGAUGGAAGUUCUGCAUGUACAAGAGUGUGGAAGACAACAGUAGGUACAUGUGUCUGUUGACACCUAUUCUAUUAUUUUUGCUACAGCACAAAUGGGAGAAAGUGGUAAAGGUCAUUAGUUAUUGGCUGAUUUUGCAGUCAUGGGCAAACCAGUUCUUUUCAGUGCUUUUGUGUUUCUUAUAUUAUUCAUAAGAUACGAAUCCCAUAGAAUACUCAAGGACCAGGAAUAGUAGAAUGUGCCAAUAGAAUGUUAGAAAUUCAACUUCAGAAACAAAAAGGGGGGGGAUAGGUAUUAUCCAUCUCCACAGAAUCAAUUGCAUCAUGCUCUUUUUAUUUUGAAUUUCUUAAAUUGUAAUGAGAAGGGCUGCACUGCAGCUGAGAGACACCAAGUCUCUGGUUCAGCUUGUUCAGCAGGAAUGGUAUGAUAGAAAGAUUUACCAUCAGGAAAAUAGAAUGGGCAGGAUCCAGUAAUGACGGGAAGAGGUUAUGACUGUAUCUUUCCAGAAGGUGCUGAGAAGCCGAUUGGGUAUCUGAGAGAGGAGUCAUCAACAUGGAUCCAAAAAGUGAACACGAACCCGAAUCCAAAAGACUGAAGAUCACACCAUCAAUAACGGUACCGACACAACAGCUACCUUUAAACAUGCAGCCAAGCAAAGGAGGCAAGAAAAAGGAAGGAGCAACAAAAAGCACACUACGCGUAAAUCCCCCGACAUGGAGUCAGAUCCAGAACUUGGCAAGCAAAGCUCAGGGAGUGAUUGAGAAGCAGGGGGUCCCUGAGACACCAGCUACCAUGUUUAUGGCAAUGCUGGCUGUUCUAAGUUGUCAGGUAUGUAUCGUAACGAGAAACUUAUUGGACAUAUUUUCCAGGUCCUCCAUUAAUUAAUCCCACUACCUGGGCUGGAGGAUCUGUUCCAGUGUUUACAGAUUAGUCUGCCAUGGGGGGGUUGUCAAUCUGAUUUUCAUAUUUUCCCUCUUAUUUCUUUAAUUUUCUUAUUCUGGGUAUACUGCUGAGGUCCCUAUGUCCCAGGAAUCCUAUGGUGGUACUUGUGUUGCCGGUUUCCAGUCCUUCUUUAGGAUUUGAAAAAAUAUAUACAAACUAUUAUCAAAAUAGAUUUUCCUAAAUAAGAACUCUGACAACAUCCUCUGUUCCCUUAUUGCCCAAAUUCCAGCACUUCAGAACUGGGAACUUUUCCUCAGUGGCGAGAUUGUGCUAAUUUAGUUCCUGUAAGACAUAUUUGCAGUCCAAGUCAUAUGUCCUCAUAAGUUUGAUUUGGAACAUUCUCAUAAUGAACUCAUGACCCCUGGAGGGUUUGUUAGUAAAAUCUGACCUCAAGAUCAGGAGGCAUUCAGAAGAAUUUAUGGCAUCUAGCUGCUAUUUUAGAUUUUGUUAAUUUUACUAGUCAGUUGCUUUCACAUCUAACCACUGAUUGUACCACCAACUCAUUUUAUGGUUUGUGGUUGUGUGUUCAGUCUCUUUAUGCAUUAUUAACAGGAAAUACUAAUCUCACAAAAAUGGGCAGUGAUCACUAUUUUGUAACGAGUACUAACUGUAAUCUUACUAAUUGUGUGACUAAUAUAACAAAAAUCAAGGUAUUUUGGUUUUAUAUCAGCCUUCCUUUCUUAUGCUUUCCACCAGCAUCACGGAUGACUGACAUUAAGAUAAUAGGGCUAGGUUGGCAUGGUGGUGCACACCUUUAAGCCCGGUGGUUUGGGAGGCUGAGGCAGGAAGAUCACAAGUUCAAAGCCAGCCUUAGCAAAAACGAAGCACUUAGCAACUCAGAGAGACCCUGUCUCUAAAUAAAAUGCAAAAUUGGGCUGGGGAUUGGCUCAGUGGUCAAGUGCCCCUGAGUUCAAUUCCUGGUUUACCACCACCACCACCGCCCCCCAAAAAAGAUAACAGGGCUAUAAUUAUCAAGAACUUCAUAAUCAGCUGAUUCAAUCUUCUGUGCUAUGGGACUUAUAGUCUUUGGUAUUGUAACUUUAAUUAUAUUGCGAUUGUUUCUACAAUCACUGCCUCUGACAUUCUGGUACAGGAUAUCCAACUCAUUUUGUCAAUGCUUGACACAAAAUACAUUAAGAACCCUGUAAGAUCAGGAGAAUACUGAUAAUAAACUUAAAGCUAAGUUAAAUGCUUUAAAACCUAGUGUAAUAAACUUAGGUAAUCACAUAGUUUUAAGGUCAGAGGACAAUUACAGUGCCAUGUUGCUUAUCAGUUUAUUUAUGUAAUACCUGUUUUACAUGUUAAUUCCCAGUGGGGUUAGAAAAAAUAAAGAUACAUCUAUUAGCAAUUUGAAAUCAUAAGUGUUAGUUUAUAUCUUUUACACCUACACCAUUAGAUCCAAG
rnacentral:lncRNA from 1 species